GAACGCACAUUGCACUCCUUGGUAUUCCGAGGAGUAUGCCUGUUUCAGUAUCAUGAGCACUCUCACAACUAACCUUUGGGUGAAAUUGUGGAAUUGGAAUGCGCUGCUUUUAAUGAUCAGCCCUUCUAAAAUAUAUUUCAUGACUGUCACCUAACACAGCAGUUUGGCCUAAUAGUUUUGACAUUGAUUUGUCAAAUCUUUGGCUUACAUUUGCUUCAGGUUGUCAGUCUUGAUAAUACAGAAAACUCAUUCAAAUUUUGAUCUGAAAUCAGGUAGGGCUACCCGCUGAACUUA
rnacentral:misc_RNA from 1 species